rnacentral:tRNA from 1 species
GGGAAGGUGGCUCAGUGGUAAAGCGCUUGCCUUGCAUGCAUGAGGCCCUAGGUUCAAUUCCUCAGUACCA